rnacentral:rRNA from 1 species
CUUCGGAUGAGUAAAGCGGCGGACGGGUGAGUAAUACGUAGGUAAUCUACCUUUUUGUGUGGAAUAACUAAGGGAAACUUUAGCUAAUACCGCAUGUAGUUUCAGAUCGUGUGAUUUGAAAAAAAAGGGGGGUCGUAAGAUCUCUCGCAAAAAGAUGAGCCUGCGCACGAUUAGCUAGUUGGUGAGGUAAUGGCUCACCAAGGCGACGAUCGUUAGCAGAUCUGAGAGGAUGAUCUGCCACACUGGAACUGACACACGGUCCAGACUCCUACGGGAGGCAGCAGUGGGGAAUAUUGCACAAUGGGGGAAACCCUGAUGCAGCGACGCCGCGUGGGUGAUGAAGGCCUUCGGGUUGUAAAGCCCUGUCGGCUGGGAACAAGGUAGUCGUGCUCAUACCACGAUUGCUUGAGUGUACCAGCAAAGGAAGCACCGGCUAACCCUGUGCCAGCAGCCGCGGUAAUACAGGGGGUGCUAGCGUUGUUCGGAAUUACUGGGCGUAAAGGGCGCGUAGGCGGUUUAACAAGUCAGGAGUGAAAUCCCGGAGCUUAACUUCGGAAUUGCUUUUGAAACUGUUAGACUAGAGUAUGUUAGAGGAAAUCGGAAUUCCUAGUGUAGAAGUGAAAUUCGUAGAUAUUAGGAAGAACACCGGUGGCGAAGGCGGAUUUCUGGGACAUAACUGACGCUG